rnacentral:tRNA from 1 species
CCCGCGGUAACUCAGUUUGGUAGAGUGGUCGGCUGUAGACCGACAGGAUCGUCUAAAAGGCGAUCCCGGGAUAUGUCGCCGGUUCAAAUCCGGCCCGCGGGACCA